AUUGAACGCUGGCGGCAUGCUUUACACAUGCAAGUCGAACGGUAACAGGCCGCAAGGUGCUGACGAGUGGCGAACGGGUGAGUAAUGCAUCGGAACGUGCCCAGUCGUGGGGGAUAACGCAGCGAAAGCUGUGCUAAUACCGCAUACGAUCUAUGGAUGAAAGCGGGGGACCGUAAGGCCUCGCGCGAUUGGAGCGGCCGAUGUCAGAUUAGGUAGUUGGUGGGGUAAAGGCUCACCAAGCCAACGAUCUGUAGCUGGUCUGAGAGGACGAACAGCCACACUGGGACUGAGACACGGCCCAGACUCCUACGGGAGGCAGCAGUGGGGAAUUUUGGACAAUGGGCGCAAGCCUGAUCCAGCAAUGCCGCGUGCAGGAAGAAGGCCUUCGGGUUGUAAACUGCUUUUGUACGGAACGAAACGGUCUGGGUUAAUACCCUGGGCUAAUGACGGUACCGUAAGAAUAAGCACCGGCUAACUACGUGCCAGCCGCCGCGGUAAGAC
rnacentral:rRNA from 1 species